rnacentral:rRNA from 1 species
UACAGAGGGUGCGAGCGUUGUUCGGAAUUAUUGGGCGUAAAGGGCGCGUAGGCGGUGCGGUAAGUCACCUGUGAAAUCUCCUGGCUCAACUGGGAGCUUGCAGGCGAAACUGCCGUGCUGGAGUGUGGGAGAGGUGCGUGGAAUUCCUGGUGUAGCGGUGAAAUGCGUAGAUAUCGGGAGGAACACCCAUGGCGAAGGCAGCAAGCUGGGCGACACCUGACGCUGAGGCGCGAAAGCGUGGGUAGCAAACAGG